rnacentral:lncRNA from 1 species
GAGCGGGGCGGGGCGAGGUAAAUCCGCGCGCAGCUCCGAUCCGUUAGGCGCCCCGACUGGCGGGGCAGCACUGGCGCAGUGGCUCCGCUCGGCCCGGUCCCUGUCCCGGGAGCGGGGCCGGCCUGGGAGCGGGCAAGUCCGCCUGAAGGGGAGGCGGGGGCCAGGGCUUGGGCGGGGGGCGGGGGGCGGGGAAGGGGCCGGACACGCUUGCGCACACGGUCGGGAAGCCGACAGCCGCGAACGCCGCGCUGGAGGGAGGGCGCACCGAGAGAGGGAGGGCGCGGAGAAAGGAGGGAGCUAAGAAGGGAGGGAGGGCAUCGAGGAGGGAGGGCGCGCCGAAGGAGGGAGGACGCAGAGAAAGGAGGGAGUAAGGAGGGAGGGAGGGCGCAGAGGAAGGAGGGCGAGGGUGUGAGGCCGCGGGGAGACUGGGGUUGGCCUGGAGGCCUCCCUGGCCUGGAGAGAGACGGCCGGGGUGCGGGAGGCUGGAUCGGGUGAGGGCAAACCCAGGGCAAGCGCUGCCUGUGAAUGGCUCCAAGAUGAGUAUGCCCAACGUUGCCUCUAGCACUGAUCCCACGCUCUCCUGGAAACAAUAACCAAGAAAGGCUUCUUUGCUGUCCCCGCGCGGUUAAAAAAAAAAAAAGUAUCCUUUUCUCUCUACAGAAACUCAAGAACAGGAAUAGAAGUCCAUCCUUCCAAUAUCCUCCCAUGCCCUCAUGGCAGUCAGGUGACCUAAAUUGACGAGCCUUUUCUCUGCCCCAGGCCGGCCUAUGCGCCCCAAACUGCUCCCUUAGCUCUUCCUCCUUUGCAUACCCUCUCUUAGCCUUGGAUAACUUCUCAGUUUCCGUUCUUGCUGAAGGCGCCAGGCAUCCUGUCUCCAGAGGAAACCCCUUCAAGCCUUUAACCCUGAUGCCGUGGGCUCUAGAAUUGCCUGGACUGCAAACAGUGCAGAAACCACCCUGCAGGACUGUCCAUUUCAGGAGUCAGCACAGUGUUACCCAGUUCCUAGCUUGAGCACCCUGGGGCUACAAGGAAAGUAUUAGAUCCAGUCCCCCUUCCCCCGGAAGCUUGCUAUCUAGUUGCAGAGAAGGGGUGGCGGGUGUUGUGCUGGACUCCCAUCAAGAAACAGGCGGCACAGGAUGUGACUAAGUGUAAGUAAGAUGUGAAUAACUGACAGUAAGUGCCCAGGGUUUUAACGGAGUUUAAAGUCAUCGUCAGGGGAAGCUGGAGGUCUCAUGUGUUGGGACUCUCCAAUUCACAACAAAACGAAGAGGUGGCCUCCAGCUUCUUCCAUUCCGGCUGUUUCCAUCUGAAUUAUACCUUGCAUAGGUGGAAGCUCUUUGGCAGCUCACCAAAACCUAGUUUUAUUUGAAUGGUACCUUUGGCCUGACAGUCACCUAGUCACUCAACAAAUAUUUAUUACAUUUCAUGUCCUGGUCUGGAGCUAAGCUGGGAAUAGACAAUACAAUGACUAUGUCUCUGUGUUUGGCAAGGGAAAAAGAAGAAGGCAAAAGAAAAACUGCUCGGGGAGAAAGAACAACUGAAAUAUGUCUGGCAAGUUGAUUCAAGAAACAGUUGCCCGGCCUCCAAACCUGGAUAAGUCUUCACCAAACUAGGUACAAAGACAAGUUCUUGCUAAAGGAGGAUACAAUUGUCCAUUGUGCUGGAGAGUGAUCUCAUGGUGCUACGUGUGGCCCUGUUCUGGUGAAGAGUGGCAGACGUCACCCUUUCUGAGGUAGACUGAGAAGUGUAAGGAAGAAGACCCAGGGGGACACACUGGAAUGCGCUACAAGUGUAGGCUUGUGAAACAAGCAUUGUGAAACAACUCACUUGUCCUUCCCGGAGAAUGUUCCUCAGUAGUGGCAGAUGCUCUGGAGUGAGAUCUCGAAGUGAUCUGAUACCCCGGCGAUGGCAGAUGGCGAUCAAAUACAGGUCAUCAAGCUGUGCAGAGACCACAGGACAAAACAAGACAAUGCUAGUUUUAGCAAGGAGGCUACCAGCCAGGGCACUCCUACCCCCCAAGGCCAAUCCAGAAGACCCUACAGCAGAGCCAAUGAGCGGGUACCCGAGGUAUGUCUGCCCUGGAUGUCAAGGGAUAGCUGAAGAACAAGAUUUCUGUGUAUUCUUUGGAACUAGGUGUGGUGGUACACGCCUGUAAUCCCAGCACUCAAGCAGAAGGACUGAGGGUUCAAAGUCUCUCUGGGCUAUACAGCAAGACCCUUUCAAAAAAGAAAUUGAGAAAGGAAGAAAAACUAUAAAACAAAAAUUUCCAUCUGGGAAUGUUUACAUAAACUAAGGAGUUGACAGGAAGAGACGGGCAAGUUCUGAAAGCCAAGCACAAAAGUCUUUGUCCUGAAGAAUUUACAACUUCACUUAAGUGCAUGUCGUUCUCCUGUAUGAAAUAAAUGUUGCAUAAAAGCAUGGCAGCUUUUUGUUUCUUUGGUAUGACAGAACCCAGGGUCUUCUGCAUGCCUAUUGCAAUCUCUACUACUGAGCGACUUCCCCAUGACACGCAGUGAUCAGCACGCAAGAGGAAAGAGUCCAGGUAGCCGGGUGACCAGAAAGUCUUCCGAGGGAAGGCAGGGGAUCUGGAUCUGGAGAGAACUGUGAGAGUGAAGGUUCAGAGAGGGUGGCAGCUCAAUGUAUGCAGGACUGUGGGGGACACACAGAGGAAGCGUCCCAGGGGCCUGUCAGCUAUUUUUCUCUUUUCCUAUCUCAGUGGCUCACAGAAGACCUUUCCUGCAGUUCUUCCUGUAAAUGGAGCUUGGCUAAAAACCGGGAGGUCAAAACAGAGCAAAGAACCAGUGUCAACAAGAUCUUGUGCCAGAGAGCAAAUGAAAUGUCUCUCUCGCCCGGAAACCCCUCCCACACCCUCCCUGCUCCCCAAACCUUGGCCUUGCUUGGUUAUCACACCCAUGUGCCAGGCUUCGGAGCCAAAUCCAGACACAAUACAGCAGCCCCUAGUCCUGAGAUCUGACCUGCUAGAUUACUCAAGGAGAUAAUUUGGGGACCAUGAAUCGUCCAGCCAAAUCCCCAAGAGCCCUAACAUAAGAACUGGGAAUGAGAGCAUCCCUAUGAUCGAUGGUGUCCAAGUAUGGCAUUCUUUUGGUGGUAGUUGUUCUUCCCACCAUUGUUACAGGAACCUGGGCUGUGCCCCAAAGCUGCUGUGUGAGCUGUGCCCACCAGGCCUUUCUUUCAUGACAAAUCCUACCUGGAUUCUCCCUUCUCGUCUUGUGCCCAGGUCAUGUGCUUACUUAGUCCAAAGGGAAACCAGGAAAUAGGUAGGAGGUAUUGAUUUUGAGCACAUGUUUUGGCUGUAGGAUGUGUCACUAUCACAGGACACUCAGAAUAGUAAAAGCAUGUUUUAACU